rnacentral:tRNA from 1 species
GGCGUGAUAGCUCAGCUGGUUAGAGCACAGCACUCAUAAUGCUGGGGUCGGUGGUUCAAGUCCACCUCACGCCACCA